rnacentral:rRNA from 1 species
GAUGAAAGGUGGCGGCGUGCCUAAUACAUGCAAGUCGAGCGAACAGACGAGGAGCUUGCUCCUCUGACGUUAGCGGCGGACGGGUGAGUAACACGUGGAUAACCUACCUAUAAGACUGGGAUAACUUCGGGAAACCGGAGCUAAUACCGGAUAAUAUAUUGAACCGCAUGGUUCAAUAGUGAAAGACGGUUUUGCUGUCACUUAUAGAUGGAUCCGCGCCGCAUUAGCUAGUUGGUAAGGUAACGGCUUACCAAGGCAACGAUGCGUAGCCGACCUGAGAGGGUGAUCGGCCACACUGGAACUGAGACACGGUCCAGACUCCUACGGGAGGCAGCAGUAGGGAAUCUUCCGCAAUGGGCGAAAGCCUGACGGAGCAACGCCGCGUGAGUGAUGAAGGUCUUCGGAUCGUAAAACUCUGUUAUUAGGGAAGAACAAAUGUGUAAGUAACUAUGCACGUCUUGACGGUACCUAAUCAGAAAGCCACGGCUAACUACGUG